rnacentral:rRNA from 1 species
UCUUGGUCAUUUAGAGGAAGUAAAAGUCGUAACAAGGUCUCCGUUGGUGAACCAGCGGAGGGAUCAUUGCUGGAACGCGCCCCAGGCGCACCCAGAAACCCUUUGUGAACUUAUACCUUUUGUUGCCUCGGCGCAUGCUGGCCUCUAGUAGGCCCCUCACCCCGGUGAGGAGACGGCACGCCGGCGGCCAAGUUAACUCUUGUUUUUACACUGAAACUCUGAGAAAAAAACACAAAUGAAUCAAAACUUUCAACAACGGAUCUCUUGGUUCUGGCAUCGAUGAAGAACGCAGCGAAAUGCGAUAAGUAAUGUGAAUUGCAGAAUUCAGUGAAUCAUCGAAUCUUUGAACGCACAUUGCGCCCUCUGGUAUUCCGGAGGGCAUGCCUGUUCGAGCGUCAUUUCAACCCUCAAGCACUGCUUGGUGUUGGGGCACUGCUUCUGACGAAGCAGGCCCUGAAAUCUAGUGGCGAGCUCGCCAGGACCCCGAGCGCAGUAGUUAAACCCUCGCUCUGGAAGGCCCUUUCUUUGCCCUGCCGUUAAACCCCCAACUUCUGAAAAUUGACCUCGAUCAGUUAGGAAUACCCCAAAUU